GACGUAGGGUGCGAGCGUUGUCCGGAUUUAUUGGGCGUAAAGGGCGCGUAGGCGGCUCGGCACGUCCGUUGUGAAAUCGCCCGGCUCAACUGGGCGGGGUCAGCGGAUACGGUCGAGCUUGAGCAAGCUAGGGGGCAAUGGAAUUCCCGGUGUAGUGGUGGAAUGCGUAGAUAUCGGGAGGAACACCGGUGGCGAAGGCGGGUCUCUGGGCCGAUACUGACGCUGAGGAGCGAAAGCGUGGGGAGCGAACAGG
rnacentral:rRNA from 1 species